rnacentral:rRNA from 1 species
GUGUCAGCAGCCGCGGUAAUACGUAGGGAGCAAGCGUUGUCCGGAUUUACUGGGUGUAAAGGGUGCGUAGGCGGCUUUUUAAGUCAGAUGUGAAAUCUAUGGGCUCAACCCAUAAACUGCAUUUGAAACUAGAGAGCUUGAGUGAAGUAGAGGCAGGCGGAAUUCCCUGUGUAGCGGUGAAAUGCGUAGAGAUAGGGAGGAACACCAGUGGCGAAGGCGGCCUGCUGGGCUUUAACUGACGCUGAGGCACGAAAGCGUGGGUAGCAAACAGGAUUAGAAACCCCAGUAGUCC